AGCAAUUUGGCGCAGUGGAAGCGCGCCGGGCUCAUAACCCGGAGGUCGCACGAUCGAAACGUGC
rfam:Trichoderma harzianum strain T6776 Scaffolds0682.1, whole genome shotgun sequence.